rnacentral:rRNA from 1 species
AUUGAACGCUGGCGGCAGGCCUAACACAUGCAAGUCGAGCGGAGCGGCGGACGGGUGAGUAAUGCCUAGGAAUCUGCCUGGUCGUGGGGGAUAACGUCCGGAAACGGGCGCUAAUACCGCAUACUAUCAGAUGAGCCUAGGUCGGAUUAGCUAGUUGGUGGGGUAAAGGCCUAACAAGGCGACGAUCCGUAACUGGGCUGAGAGGAUGAACAGGCACACUGAAACAGAGAAGCGGUCCAGACACCGACGGGAGGAAGCAGUGGGGAAUAUUGGACAAUGGGAGAAAGGCUGAUCCAGCCAUGCCGCGUGUGUGAAGAAGGUCUUCGGAUUGUAAAGCACUUAAAGUUGGGAAGCGUUACCAGCAGAAUAAGCACCGGCUAACUUCGUGCCAGCAGCCGCGGUAAUAC